rnacentral:rRNA from 1 species
AACGAACGCUGGCGGCAUGCCUAACACAUGCAAGUCGAACGAGACCUUCGGGUCUAGUGGCGCACGGGUGCGUAACGCGUGGGAACCUGCCCUUAGGUUCGGAAUAACUCCCCGAAAGGGGUGCUAAUACCGGAUAAUGUCUUCGGACCAAAGAUUUAUCGCCUUUGGAUGGGUCCGCGUUGGAUUAGCUAGUUGGUAGGGUAAAAGCCUACCAAGGCGACGAUCCAUAGCUGGUCUGAGAGGAUGAUCAGCCACACUGGGACUGAGACACGGCCCAGACUCCUACGGGAGGCAGCAGUGGGGAAUAUUGGACAAUGGGCGAAAGCCCGAUCCAGCAAUGCCGCGUGAGUGAUGAAGGCCUUAGGGUUGUAAAGCUCUUUUACCCGGGAUGAUAAUGACAGUACCGGGAGAAUAAGCUCCGGCUAACUCCGUG